ensembl:lncRNA
CAAAAGUCCGUUGAAGGAAAGUAACGGUUCAGGGUCACAACGGCUUCUCAUUGGCUGAGCUGCUGUGUUUCUCAUUGGCUGGGCUGUUGCCAAGUGGGAGGAGAAAUCUUCCUUUAGUAGUAAAGUAGUUUUACUUCCCAUCAGAAGAGGCAAGGGUAGCUCUUUUCCUCUUUCCUGUAGUUGGCAACGUAGGACAGGGAGUGAGAGCUCCCCCUACAGGCCUCCCUGACUCCAAGUUAGUUACGUUUUCUUUUAUUAAUUUCCACAAAAGUGAUGAAAUUUCUCUUCGGGCUCUUCUCAGCUGCUCUUUCUGAACACCUCUCCCCCCUACUCCCUGUCUAUACCAAUCUGGGAGCUCAGCUAUAUCUUUAGAUAAACUUAUUAUGGACCUCAUCAUAUCUAAACGUCUAGAGAAAAAGACUUGUUUACUUCCUUGCCUAACUUCCAAAUAUCUCAAGGCAAAAUCAUGUGGUUUUUACCAGUAUGAAGUUUGGAGCCAGGCAUAUUUUCCUAACUUAAAACAUUGGCCUUGUUUCUUCCUUGCUGUGUGGAUUUGAGCAAAUUACAAAUAACCUCUUUUGCCUCUGUUUCCUCAACUGUAAAAUGGGGUGGGGUUUUUUGUAAGUAUCUUAGAAGUUAACACACAUGUUCUUGGCAUUUGUGUUUUGCUAAUAUUAUUAAAGACUUGCUCACCAAUGUAGUCUCAAGUGAUCACCUACUGCUUGGUACAUAAUAGGUGCUUAAUAAGUAUAUGUUAAUCAUUGAAUACUGAAAUCAGCUUUUCCUAAUGGAUUACCGAGGUUCCUUAUGCUUUAAUGGUGAUUCUCCAUGGAAAUGUAAAAUAGUUCUGCACCACCAUGUUCUGCAUGCAGUCUACAUGUCACCUCUUUCACAGGCCCUGAGAAAGCACAUUAACUUUGGUGAGCCCCUAGGGUACCGUGCUCUGCCUUGAGAAACUUUCCUAACAGCCCCUUCCCACACCCGCCCCAAGGGUGCAGCCCCAGUGGGCACUGGUCACCAGGAGGCACAUGCAAGGUGACUGCACAGGGGCCAGAGGCCAGGGGGCGGCAGUAAGACAAGUGAAAGGGCACUCAGGAGAGACUGUCUCCUUUACACCUUGCCCGUUGUGUCUGUAUUAAUCUGGGAGUCCCCUCCCCUUAUGUCCUUUCUGCAACAAAGCAAAGUCUAAAUAAACGAAAUGUCAAACAAAGUUUUUCUUUCUUUCUAACCACUUCUCCAGCUUCCCAGGUUACUUUGAAAUCUGAUCUAAUUCUUCAGGGCCAAGACGUGCUGAUUUGGACAUUUGAUAAGCACUUCUGUUUAUUUUAUCUAAAUCCCUAGAAGUGGGUCCGGGAUACUAAUCUAUUUUUAACCUCAGGUGUGGAAAGUUGAUAUCGUGAGCUGAAGUGUGUUUCCCCCAAAAUUCAUGUGUUGAAAUCCUAACCCCCAGUACCUCGGAAUGUGAUUGUAUUUGGAGCUUGGGCCUUUAAAGAGGUGAUUAAGUCAAAGUGAGGUCAUAUAGGCAGGCCCUAAUCCUAUAGGACUGGUGUCCUUAUGGAGGAGGGAAUCUGGACAAGGACACGUAAAGAGGGAGAAGGUUAUCUGCAAGACAAGGACAGAGGCCUCAGGGGAAACCAAACCUGUGGACAUCUUGAUCUGGGACUUCCAGCCUCCAGAACUUUGCAGGUCCUUCUGGUUGUGCUAUGUGGGACACCACCUCAACAUAGCUUGAUGAGCAGUGCCAUGUCUGUGCCCAGGAUCUCAACUGGUGAAACCCCGGGCUGCUGAAGCAGAGUGCAGGAACUUAACCACUCAGCCAUGGAGCCGGCCCCUACUUGUACACUUUUAGUAUCUUACAAUUUUAUUUGUCAAGUGUACCUCAAUAAAGCUGAAAAAAAAUA